UACGUAGGUGGCGAGCGUUGUCCGGAUUUACUGGGCGUAAAGAGCGCGCAGGCGGCUGGUCAAGUCCGAUGUGAAAGCUCCCGGCUUAACUGGGAAAUUGCAUCGGAAACUGAUCGGCUGGAAGGUGGGAGAGGGUAGCGGAAUUCCCGGUGUAGUGGUGAAAUGCGUAGAUAUCGGGAGGAACACCAGUGGCGAAAGCGGCUACCUGGCCCAUACUUGACGCUGAGGCGCGAAAGCUAGGGGAGCAAACGGG
rnacentral:rRNA from 1 species